rnacentral:lncRNA from 1 species
AGAGAAGGGAGGGACGGCUAGAGGCUGCGGGAUGCGGUGCGCUUGGCUCGCGCCUCGAGGUGAAUGGUGCUCUUGCAGUUGUGCUAUUGGUAAGAAUGAUUCUAUGGGAGUUUUGCCUGACAGGACUGCAAGAUUCACUUUGCAUUGUAUUGCUUCUUGAAAACGUGUCUUACUGAACAACUGAGCUUAAUCGGAAUGUAGAGGUAAAUGAAGAUGUAUCAAAGUUAUCUUUGAAUGGAAAAACACUGUCAUCAUAAUACUUGAGAUUGGAUCUACUGCUGUGCAAGCUAAUAGAAAUCUCUGUUUAAAGGGAACAGUAUGUCUAGCUGGGGUGGGAGGGGAGAAAACCAUUUUGAUGUUCUGUUGGACUGGCUACAUAAGCUAUUACAUAAUGUUCUUAUGCUUCUACUGAUACUUAUUAUUCCAUAAGCUUUCUGGUUCAAUGCUCUUCCAUGCAAAAUGUUUGCUAACUUGGAACUGAUUUUUAUUUUGGGUAAGAUUUUCAAAUACACGCAGUAAGAUUUGGAGGCGAAAAUGGUGUUUUAUGAAAAUCAAUGGAGCAAAGUCCAGCUAAUGCUUGAAAAGACAGCUGGCCUUUGAAUGGAUAAUUAGCACAGGCAGUUGUAAUAUUACAAGUAGGAUCAUAUGAGAACAGUAUGACCUAGAGCAAAGUGUUUUCACCUGUUUGAUGUAGUAGAGCUAUCUGGUUUUGACAGCAAAAAGGCUUAAGUUUAAGCAGAAUACCUGCAGGAUUGAAGUGAUCUUCUGGGUAACCGACAUGAUUAGUGAGAAUUUUGGUUUUGAGCUCAGUCCUCUAUUACCUACUGAGAGUAAGGCUGCCAGUAACUCUUGGGCAUGUACCAACUGUGAGAAACUUCCAUCUUUUUGUUUGGGUUGGUGAGAAASUUUUCAGUGGUUGACUUCUGCAAGGUGCUAUAAUUACAUUGAGGCUUUACUGUGGGACAGAGAAUGCAUGUUACUCUGAAGUAAGAAAGAUUCCUUUUUAAAGUGAAAAUAAUGCUGAAUUAUGGUUUAGUAGUAAAAUACUCUAUCUUUGGCUGUAGAAACCUGUAGACAUGAUCAGCUGUGGGCAUAGAGCUUUGAGCAACG